rnacentral:rRNA from 1 species
GACAGAGGGUGCAAACGUUGCUCGGAAUCACUGGGCGUAAAGGGCGUGUAGGCGGGAAUGUAAGUCGGGCGUGAAAUCCCUAGGCUCAACCUAGGAACUGCACUCGAAACUGCGUUUCUUGAGUAUCGGAGAGGAAAGCGGAAUACCUGGUGUAGAGGUGAAAUUCGUAGAUAUCAGGUGGAACACCAGUGGCGAAGGCGGCUUUCUGGACGAUUAACUGACGCUGAGACGCGAAAGCGUGGGGAGCAAACAGG